UUUGUAUCAAAUUACCCACAU
rnacentral:piRNA from 1 species